rnacentral:rRNA from 1 species
UCCUCUGACGUUAGCGGCGGACGGGUGAGUAACACGUGGAUAACCUACCUAUAAGACUGGGAUAACUUCGGGAAACCGGAGCUAAUACCGGAUAAUAUAUUGAACCGCAUGGUUCAGUAGUGAAAGACGGUUUUGCUGUCACUUAUAGAUGGAUCCGCGCCGCAUUAGCUAGUUGGUAAGGUAACGGCUUACCAAGGCAACGAUGCGUAUCCGACCUGAGAGGGUGAUCGGCCACACUGGAACUGAGACACGGUCCAGACUCCUACUGGAGGCAGCAUUACGGAAUCUUCCGCAAUGGGCGAAAGCCUGACGGAGCAACUCCGCGUGAGUGAUGAAAGUCUUCGGAUCGUAAAACUCUGUUAUUAUGGAAGAACAAAUGUGUGAGUAACUAUGCGCGUCUUGACGGUACCUAAUCACAAAGCCACGGGUAACUACCUGCCAGCUCCCUCGGUAAUACGUAUGUGGCAAGCGUUAUCCGGAAUUAUUGGGCGUAGAGCGCGCGUAGGCGGUUUUUUAAGUCUGAUGUGAAAGCCCACGGCUCAACCGUGGAGGGUCUGGGGAAACUGGAAAACUUGUCUGCUGAAGAGGAAAGGGGUACUCCAUGUGUAGUGAUGAACUGAGCAGAGAUAUGCAGGAACCCCAGUUGCUAAGGCGUAUCUCUGGUCAGUUAAUGACGACACUGUGAAAUAGAGUGUGGUUCAAACCGGACUAGUUUUCCUGUUUGCACAGACCGUAAACGAUGAAUCCUAGGUCUUAGGGGUCUUCCGCCCAAAAGUGCUGCAGCUAACUCUUUAAGCAAUAAUUCUGGGGAGUGCGUCCCCAAGGUUGAUACUCAAGGGAAUUGGCGGGGACCUGCCCAUGCGGUUGAGCAUGUGGUUUAAUAAGAAGCAACUAGAAGAACCCUCACAAAUUCUUCCAUCAUAACACCCUUCUAGAGAUAGAAGACUCCCAUCAGGGGGACAGAGUGACUCCGUCAGCAUUUCGGUCAUCAGGGAAGAUUCCGAGAUGUUGCCUUCAGUCCGGCUACGAGCGCAACCCUUAAGCCAGUGUGGCAUAUCACCCUUGGGCGUUGUAAGUGGAUUGCCGCUGACAAACCGGAUGAAGUUGGCGAUGAGGUCAAAUCGUCAGGCCCCAUAUGAAAGGGGCAACACAACUGUUUCAAUGGACAAUACCAAGGGGUGCGAAAUCUUGAGGUCAAGCAAAUCCCAUUAAGGAUUUUCAGUCCGGAUAUAGUUUGCAACUCCACUAUAGAAGCGGAAUCGCUGAAUCGAGA